GAUCCGAGCCACGUCUGCGACCUACACCACAGCUCACGGCAUCUCCGGAUCCUUAACCCACUGAGUGAGGCUAGGGAUCAAACCCGCGUCCCCGUGGGUACCAGUCGGAUUCAUUACCGCUGAGCCACAACAGGAGCUCCAACACUGACUUUUUUAAAAGGAGUCCAAGCCAGGUGUUUUGAAGGAUGUUCUGCGUUCUGGGUGUGUGUUUCCUCGUGGCUCAUCCAGGUGAAAUGUCUUUUGCUGGAAUACUUUGUCGGUGAGCUUCUGUACUUCUUGCCUCACACCAUAAGCCCUGCCAGUCCAGGUUGCUUCACUCUAUUUGAUCACUAGGCUAGUUAAGGUGGAGAUUGCCAGAUCUCUCCAUUCUAAAUCAAGAUGCCUUUUUCCCUCACCCUUUUUAUUCUCUUCUUUGAAAAAGCAUGUACGCUUUGGGGACCUAGUGUGGAGAGGAGGAAUUGUUCUGAUGAAUUGGCAGUGGAGAUUCCUUGGCCAUCUUGGGCUUCUCAUGCCACUGGCAAUAGGCAGAGAAGGGAGGUUUUUAUGAGUUGAAUUGACUGAUCUUGAUUGUCUCAGGGAGACUAGGCUGUGGAGACCGUGUUCAGAAACAUGGAGAUUUACUGAUCUUUUGUAUACUCCUUGACCAAUUGUCUUCGUGAGUGAAAAACUGUAAUGACCCACAGAGAAAAGACUUCCAAGGACUCAGACACUGUAGCAAUGACGAGUUUGGACUCCCCAUCUAGGAGAGAACCCUGAUCCAGCCAAGAUGCUGGGAGAGGUUAAAAGGCACAGGGAAUGGGCAGUGGGGAAAGGCAGUUACAAUGACCAACAUAGGCUUCACAGAGGUCAAGAGUGUGGCAAGAUGUUUUAUGUAACUUAAUUGCGUCUUGUCUUCCUCCUUUUUCUCUGAAAUGUUGUAUGGAUAACACCAACAUUGGCUAGGAGUUCCCUGGUGGCACAGUGGGUUAAGGAUCUGGUGGUGUCACUGCAGUGGCUCAGGUGACUGCUGUGGUGAGGGUUUAAUCCCUGGCCCAGGAAGUUUCACAUGUUGCAGGUGUGGCCAAACAAACAACAAACAAACACCCCCCCACACACACAUAUAUCAAUGUUUUAGGUUUAGCUGGGAAUAUGAGAAAAUUGAUACAAACUUACUGUGACAUGGUAGUUGAUAGAACUUCAUGCCCUCCCUGUAAUGGCCCAAUCUUUCCACCAGAUAAAGGACCAGAAAGAAAGCUGAAGUCAAAAAGUCUUGGCUGGUAUCUCUGUCUCAUCUCUAUCUCUAUCUCUCUAUCGAUUGAUUGAUCUAUCAAUCUAUCCAUCUAUCUAUCUAUCAUCUACCUACCAGAGUACACACACACACACACACACACACAAACACACACACAUGUGCUAUUGUCUAUCUCUCCAGAUCCAUCGUACUUGUACUCUGUCCUGCAAGGUUGAUAUGUAUAGAUUACAUCAGUGGGCUGUGCUCUCUUAUUUCUGGUUUGGUUUGGUCCAUGGUGAAAGCAUUGUGAGAUGAGGUUGGGGACCCAUCAGGCUGGCUGUGUUUCUUAUUACUGCUCCUCCAAUGUGAGUUUUUUCUCUUGGGCUCUAGUAACUGCUUCUGUCCCUCAUGUUUUGGCUGUGGGUUGGUAACCACUCCUCUAAUCCUAGUACAGGGUUACAGGAUGGUUAUCCUUAGGUUUUCCUAACCUUUACCCACACUUUUGUAAAGAAUCUAUUUUAAUAAACAUACUCCUUGAGUUAGCUUGCUUUGAGUAUAUCUUUUCAAAUUGGGAAACUGAUAAUUGGCAAGUAGAAUUACCAGAGAGAACUAUUUUGGGGAUGAAGAAUCUUGUUGCCUGGUCCUCUAGGUUAAAGUCAAAGGAAGAUCAAGUAGGUGUGUCUUCAAACCGAUGUCUUUGGCUUUUGCAAAACACUUUGUUCAUUAUUUUUAGGGUGUAUGUACCUCUUGUGCUAUGUGGCUUCUAAAAACAGACCUUGCAAUGACCAGAGAAACCUCCUAAAAUCAUCAACUAGAGAUCAUCAAUUCAAGAAGGAGGAGUUUUCUAAGUUUGGCCCCCUCAUAUAAUUAGGCAAACUCCUUUCUGCUCCAAGGCUACGUAUUCUCUUUGUACCAUCUCAAUACCAAAGAGAAUCACAGCCUACAGGAGGAAUGCCAGGGCACUGACAAUCCCUAGGGUUACUGCCUGCUGCUGUGCAGGCUAGAUUACCAGUGGCCACUGUCCCACUGCACAAACUUUCCUUGACGGAGAAGAGGUUCCCAACACCUUCAGGCCCCCGAGUUGGUUGCCACAUGACUCAAGCAAACAUGGUCAGAGUAGCACAGGGAGGUGAGGAAGUUCCUGAGUGCUUGGAAGGUGGUGGCCUCGAAGAAUGGCCAGAGUGAAGUCCCCAAGGCAGGCAUCCAAAUCAGAUAUCAGAAUCCCAGUCACAAGUGGCAGACCUGGAAGCCUGGACGUUUAUUAUAUGAGAUAAUGUCAACUUUUGGCCAUAGACAGGUUUUCAUUUUCCUUGCUGUCUGCCCCACAGGGGCAUGUCUUUUUACAGGGAGUACUGAAAGCUGAGGGCCUUGGCAGUUUACAAAAAUGUAGGUGAUAAGCAGGAGCCUAUAGAUAUAAAAACUAUUUCUACAUUUUUUUGGGGGAGUGGGCCUGUACCCAUGUACACCACAGCUCAUGGCAAUGCCAGAUCCUUAACCCACUGAGGAGGGCCAGGGAUCAAAGCUGCAUCCUCAUGGAUACGAGUCAGAUUCAUCUCCACUGAGUCAAGACGGGAACUCCCAGAAGCAAAUUCUUACCUUGGAACCCAGAGAACUGCAAUGAUACAUCCUGACUUUCCCAGACCUCAGCAACCUAUGGAUUUAAAGGGACCAAAAUUAAAAAAAAAUUUUUUUUAAAACUGUCCCUCCCAGAUUUUCUGCUUAUUUUUUUGCCACCAUUUUGUUGUUUUAUUGGCGCUGUUGAAUAUUGGGUUUUAAAGACAUUAAAACUAAUUCAUUUCUGUUGGUAUUGGAGAAGAAAGAGUCUGUGGUCUUGCUUUCCUCUGCAUCUUUGUUUUUCAACAGCUCUUAUUUUUAGCUGUGAUAAAUGUGGGUGAAAUAAAUGUACAACAUGAAGGAAACAAAACUGGAAACGCAUUCUAAUCAACGAUGAGCAUAAGAUGUUCAUUAUUUUGCCAGAAGGUGGUAGCAAAGUUACAAUCAGACCUUGAGUGAAAACGUUCCAAGUGUCAACAUUCAACAAAAACCAAACCAAAUCAAAUGAAAACAAAAAACCAAGAAUAAGCUGGAAAACAAUGAAAUAUCACUUACUUAUUUAAUAUUUGAUUUCUACCUUAUAGAACUCAAUAUCAUUAAAAAAACUGUAAAAUAAAUACAAUUCUUAAAUUUGAUGAAAUGAAUGAUUAUUUAAAAAUUCUUCAAAAGUCAAAGGCUUUUUUUUUUUUUUUGUCUUUUUUUAGUUGCACCUGAGGCAUAUGGAAAUUCUCAGGCUAGGGGUGUAAUCAGAGCUGUAGAUGCCAGCCUACACCACAGCUACAGCAACACCAGAUCUGAGCCGUACCACAUCUGCACCCUACACCAGAGCUCACAGCAAGGCUGACUCCUUAACCUACUGAAUUCGAACCCGAAUUCUCAUGGAUACUAGUUGGGUUUGUUGCCAUGGAAACUCCUUCAAAGGCUCUUUAUCAAACUAAAUUUCUACCUUGUCACCCAUACGCGCUAUGGAAUUAAAGAGAUUGGGUAUGAAAAUGAAAUUAAUGGUAAACCAAUAAAAUUCAUUGCAUUC
rnacentral:lncRNA from 1 species